rnacentral:rRNA from 1 species
UACGUAGGGUGCGAGCGUUAAUCGGAUUUAUUGGGCGUAAAGAGCUCGUAGGCGGCUUGUCGCGUCGGUCGUGAAAACUUGGGGCUUAACCCCAGGCCUGCGGUCGAUACGGGCAGGCUGGAGGCAGGUAGGGGAGAUUGGAAUUCCUGGUGUAGCGGUGAAAUGCGUAGAUAUCAGGAGGAACACCGGCGGUGUAGACGGCUUUCUGGACCAUGGCUGACGCUGAGACACGAAAGCGUGGGUAGCAAACAGG